GCGGCAGGGCUGGCGGGCGGCUGCGGGGCGCGCGGGCCGGGCCCGGCCUCUGGCUCGCUACCUCUCUUUCUCAAACAUGGCGCGGGGCCGGGGGCGCAGGUGGCGGCGCCGGGCCGGGGCCCGGCUGGCCUGGCCUGGCGGCCGCCACGCGAAUCACGGGCGGGGAGCGCGGGCGGGGCGGGGCGGGGCGGGGGCGUGUGUCUGGGCGCGGGUGGACGUGCCGGGCAGCGGGCGGCCGCCCCUGCUCCCAGCUCCCCGGGGGAGGUGGCGUCGGGCGGAGCGGUCCGAGGGCCGGACUGCCUUGCGGGGAGCCAGGGGGCGCGGGCCGAGGGCCGGAGGUGGUGUGCGGCCGGCCGGGCCUGGAGGAGCCCGGGCGCCUUGUGGCGUUGUCUGGGCACCCCACCCCGAGCGGGAGGGUCGCACGAGGUUUUCGGGGCCCGGGGCGGGGUUGGGGUCGCCGGAGGUUUCCCGGGCGGGGUAUGAACUCUGAGCCUGCCGAGCGGUGGGAGGGGGCGACGUGUGGGGAGACCCCCGGGUCAUGGGGGUGCCCUGGUUUUGGGCACCGGCCCGACCCCGCCGAGAGGGGCUGUUUCCCCAGCCGGGGGUGGCUCUUGGAAGGGGGAGCCGCGAAGCUUUGUGUGAGAAGAAGGAGGCACGAAGAUGUGCGGAAUGUUUCUUCUUUGGUGCGUCUGGGAAGUGUUGAAGUGAAUCCAGUAACCAGAAGGCUACAGAUUGUUUUCGUAGUAGAAACUUGAACGUUUGCUCACUCUGCGGGGUUUGGAAUGUUUGAAUGGGAAUGACUCCGAAUUGAUCAAACGCUUUUAUUUCCUCGAAGGAACAUCGCUAGUGAUGUUCCUUUUCUUGAGUGACAGUAGUUUGAAUCAGUAGUCUCUGUGUACUUUGGUUUUCAAGGGAGAAUGUUUGUUUGCUCCUUUUUUCCCAAAAUAUGAAGUCAGGAUGGGAUAUGUGGUAAUAACCUACUUCCGUGGAAGGAACAGUGAAAAACUUUGUUAACAUCCAGACUAAAAUACUAGAAACUAAAAUAUAGAAUCCUUAGUGUUAGAAACUAAAUUACAUUGAAAGUACAUUUCUGUUUCUAAAAUUGAAUACCAAAUGUUUUAAAAAACAAACAACUCAAGAAUGAGAGUGCCAAUUAUGAGUAAUAGCUACUGUCUGUUAAAAGCUUACCAUGCUGUAGAUGCAUAAAGUACAUUAUCCAAUUCUCACAAUGAAACCCUCAGGCCUUGUGGCAUUUGCCCCAUGUUAUAGAUGAGAACACUGAGUUUCAAACAGGUUAGGUUAAGUACUUAGUUACUAAGAGCUGGAGUUAGGAUUUCCACCCAGAGUUCAGUCUUUCCAGAACCUAUAUGCCUUAAUAUAUACACCUGUCUGACGUAGCCCAUAUUUCUUUUCAGUCCUCUAAUGAGCACUUGGUCUUUAUGAUUACCUUUUUGGUUUUGUCUUCACACUAUGAAAAUCCGGUUGGCUUUUUUCUGAUGCCUACCUCGUCCAUUGCUGGAAUCCCUUCAUACUGGGCCUACAUUAGAGGAAAUGCUGGUUUUCUGACAAUGGCCUAAGGAGUGGGGGCAAGGUAAAUAUGUGGACAGGUAGGAGAAUCCAUAGUCAGGUAUCAAGCAAAAGUAACAUUUCUACAGCACUAAUAAUUCGAAUAGCAUACUUCACUCUUCCCAUCUAGCCUACCCAUCACACUAAGUGUUCAUGUAUUCACUUGACAAUAUUGGACUUAAUUAGCAUCCAGAACAGUGCUCAGUCCAUGCUGGGGAGAAGCUUCCAGACUACACUGGUGUGCAUACAGCACAAAGUUGAUCCUGGUGCCGUUACUCUGUAGUCUAGACUCCCUCAACUGGUCUGCCCAUGCUUGUUUGUGUUGAUCUUUCAUUGAUUCUGAAGCAGCUCAAAUGCACUUUUAAAUUUAUAAUUUAGCUUCCUUUUUAAGACCUUGCAGUUAUUCCUUAUUGUCUGGGUAUCUAUCAGUUUUGUAUUUCUCUGCCCAGCUUCUCCUCUCUUUAACAUAGAUUUCUCUAGGGAAAUUGGUUCCCUGUCCCUAGUACACAGAUUAGUACCAUACCAGUAUGUCCACAUAUAUAUCCCGUGUGAGAGUCUGGUUUCCUUUCUGCCAUCGUGUAAGUUUUUUCUUUGAAAACAUGCCUAAAACCCCCAACUCUUUUUUUUGUUGUUGUUGUUGUUAAGUUUGUUUAUUUAUUUUGAGUGAGAGAGAGAAAGUGUGUGAGAGCAUGAGCCAGCCGGGAGAGGCAGAGAGGGAGGGAGAGAAUCCCAAGCAGGCUCUGUGCUGUCAGUGCAUAGCACGAUGAGGGGCUUGAUCCCUCAAACUGUGAGAUCUGUGAGAUUAUGAUCUGAACGUAAAGCAAGAGUCAGAUGCUUAACCAACUGAGCCACCCAAGCACUCCUCCAUAAACGCUUCUCGAAUGUCUCUUCUUUUCUUUGUAUGCAGCCAUCAGUUUAGCCCUGCCUGUUAUCCCUUGACUCUAAGUUGCUUUCUAGUUUCUCUCCUCUAGGCUUUUCUAUAGGCUAUUGCCAAGCUAAUCUUCCUCAGCCAUCCUCACAAAGGGUUUACAAGAUUUUCCAUUUGUAUUCAGCAGUUAGAGCAAUACUUGAGGCUUAUGAUUGAAGCCAUCUCUGAGUAUUCAACCAAAGAUUCUCAACUCGUUACUACUGUAAACCCUCAAUUCCGGUGAUUUCUGUUUUCCCACUGACUCUUGACUUUUUAGCCUUUUAACUACAUACUUAACUUUACCCCUUUUGGGAAUGUGAGGAGAGAAGUUCUCAGUCCUGUCUUCAUGUACUGAUUUAGUUCCUGAACUCUUUAUUUCCUUGAACUGUAUAGUACUUACAGUUUGUGUUGUUUAUUUCCACCAGUCCUGUGCCGUUCUUUAACUAUACUUUUGAAUGUGUUAUAGGUACCCAGAGGGCAAGGGUUAUGCCUUUUCCUUUAUACUUUUGGAACCUAGCACUGUGUUUUAUAUUCUGUUCCACUUAAAUGCUCGUUGAUUAAGUGAAUUCCACUUGACUGAGCCUUCCUUUAGUAUUUAUACUGUUUUAUGUAAGUACAGCUUAUGCAAUAUUAAUUGGCAUUUCUGUGUAUAUAAUAUGGAAAUUGCAUAAUGUGAUGAAAGAAGCAGUUGGUUAUUAGAUUUGCUUGUUAGUCUCAACCUCACCCCUAGUUAUACAGAAACUCUGGAUCAUACCUACUUUUCCUAAUUCAUGAGAUUUUGAAUACCAGAUGAGAAAGUUGUAUUGGAGUUUGAGGUUGCUAUUUUGUGUUGAUAUUACUGGAUUGAUGUUCAGCCACCAAUUUCCACUGGGCCACGUGUGUUUUGACUGAUCAGACAUCCUUUCUGAUUGGUUGGUACCAUUGUGGAGCCAGUUGUUAAAUAUUUUUAAAUUACCCCUGCAGAGAGGCAUCAAGUAGUCAAAGAGGGAAAUGAUUAAUGUAGGCUGAAGUAAUGGGGGGAGGCUUUCUGGACACUUUAGGACUUGAACUGACUUUGAAAGGUAGCUUAAAUUCAAAUGGGCAGAGAAGGAGAGUUGAUGAGUAGUAAGCUGUGUCCCCCACUGUCCUGGGGCCUACACCAGGGCAGGAAUCAAAGCUUUUAUUGACUGGCAAGUUCCUUUUUAGAGUUCAGUUCUUUAUUCUAUACUGCAGGGUUUGGAUGUAUUACCACGGUUUCUUUCCCCCAAUUCUGAAAACUCUGUAAUAUGUGAAUGGAAACAAAAUAGAAAGGUAAUCUAAGUGGGAUAAAUAAGGGAAAAUAAUAUUAUAGACUGCCCACCAGGGGUAAGCAUUCUAAUGCUGAAAGUUGUAAGUCCCUUUGGUUUAUAAGGGAAAAAAAUGACAUCAGAGAUUAGGUGAAUUUCUUAGGGUCAGGCAGAACUAAGACAGGAAUUUAGAUUAUCUCAUUCCACAUCUUCUGCUCUUUUUUUUUUUUUUUUUAAUUUUUAACGUUUAUUUAUUUUUGAGACAGAGAGAGACAGAGCAUGAACAGGGGAGGGGCAGAGAGAGAGGGAGACACAGAAUCUGAAACGGGCUCCAGGCUCUGAGCUGUCAGCACAGAGCCCGAUGCGGGGCUCGAACCCACGGACCGUGAGAUCAUGACCUGAGCCGAAGUCAGACGCCCAACUGACUGAGCCACCCAGGCGCCCCACAAAUCUUCUGCUCUUUAAAAUAUGAAGGGCUUUGAGGAGGGGAGGGGAGGGUUAAUGGAGUGACUUACCUAAGUGAAGUUAGUUAUCUUGAAUUUUACAGAAUUUAUGAAAAGUGACUUCUGAUGGAGUGGGGGAGGAGCUAAAAAGUCCUCAAGAGAAGGUCAAUAUCCUUUUUAUAUUGCUGAUAAAAAGACCUGGUGUAGAGCUUAUUGAUUGAGAAGAGUAGGCUUUAGUAGUUUAAAAGAUGGUAAAGCUGUUUGGGGUUUAAUUGAAGUGGAUGUAAUUGAGAGGCCUUGCAGUACAUGGUCUAGGUUUAGAGUUUUAGAUGAUCUACUUUGUUGAAAUUAAAUAGGGAACUGACAUGAUCAAAAUAAUUGAGAGGGAGGUAAAUCUUGUUCCUCUGAGGAGGGCUGCUUAUGUGGAGAAGACCUUUGCUGAAAGGUUCUUCUAGGCCUAGUUGAAACAGUUAUCUGAACUCAGCACCAUUCUGGUAGUACCUUUGUAGUUCAUCAGAUAUUUUCAUGUCUAAUGACAUGGGUUUUAAAAAUGCCAUUUUUUUUAUGGAUGGCCCUUUUGAUGUGAGAACAUGUUUCUUCAAACCACAGAGCCUCCUGCGCAUGUUGACAAACUGCCUGCCUUUUGCUGUUCUUUCUUGGUUGUGGCUUACAUAAUGCAAGUUCUCUGAACAGAUGGACUGUGGUUUAUUAUCAUGUGAUUGGGUCACAUCUUUGCUUCCUGCUUCUGGAAUUGAGGGCAGAUGCUGGCAUGUAUCUCAGGGAUUUUCAUGCAUUGUCCCAUAGAACUGGCUUGAGAAAACUUUUGGAAUCUUAAAAAUUAUGGUCUGUCUUGACCCGGCCUAACUCUAAUACUUAGGGUAAUUAAUGACUUUCUUAACUGAAUUUCUUCAUUAUCAAAUCCAAGUGUUACGCAUAAACAUUAAGAUUUGUUGCUACUUUGAAUGAGAUCCAGUUUUAGCUCUACAGUUUUGGGCAGGUGAUGCAGGUAGGUUUCUUAUGGUUACCCUUUUUUUAUAUGAACUUAAUGAUUGGUUGACUUAUAGGCUAUUUGCUUUAGACAGACACUUUCUCCAACACUAGUGAGAGAGAGGAGUAAGUCUGGGUCCAGUUUCUGUGGGUCCAGUUUCGUAGAUCACAUCUGGCUUUUUGGAAAGCUACUCCCUGUUUGGCAAUCUCAGAGAAUACACAUUAUAAAGAAUGAUUUCUAACUUAAAAAAAAAUUAUGACUUGCAGGAGAUGGGUGCACACAGGUUACUUUGACAUUUCUUGAAGAUUCAGUGGUCCAUGUACCAUUUAUCAAUCUGAAAAGAAUAUAUGAUAAGAAUGUGCCAGGCAUUCUGUCUGCCUUGUCUCAUUUAAUUCUCAGAACCAACGCUGAUGGUAGUUGUAUAAUAGUACAAAAGUUUCUUAUGUACCAGUUAAUUUCCAGAUUUUUUUUUUAAGUCCAUUUGUUACUAGGUCCGGGUGACCAAUGCUCAAGAGUUAACUGUAGAUUUUGAUGACAUUGUUUUUUGUUUUUUUUUUUAAUGUUUAUUUUGAGAGAGAGAACAUGUAUACAAGUGGGACAGAGAGAGAGGGAGAGAGAAUCCCAAGCACUCUCCGUGCUGUCAGCACAGAACCCAACACGGGGUUCGAUCUCAUGAACCAUGAGAUCAUGACCUGAGCCAAAAUCAAGCAUCAGACACUUAACUGGGCCAUCCAGGUGCCCUGAUGACAUUGAUUCAAACCCAGGAUUCUUUUCAGCUAUCUUACAUGUUAUUCAAAGAUGUCAAUAUUCUUUCAUCUUUUAGUCAUAGAUAUAUUUAUAAAAAAAGAUACUGCUUCAGAUAGAAUAGAGAUCUGUAAGCUAGUAACAGUCCAACCACUGAGGUUCGAAUGAUUGUGCAUUACCACUAACUCCAGUAGGCAGAGUUAACAGGAUUUUGCUCAGACUGGAACUUAGUUUGUAUCUGUGAAAGUUUGUAAAAGGAAGAGCUUCUGUGUUUCCAUUUUAUAGACGAGGAAACUGAGGUCAUGAUGUUAACAAGUGGUGGGACCUGUACUUGAACAUUUUCAGAGGGUGGACUCUUUCCUGCACAUCAUGUUGCUUUUGUAUACAGUAAAUAUCUUGUUUCGGUCACUUCGUCAGGAAGGGGUUUUUUUUUUCUUCUUUUUUUUUCAACCAUGAGAAUUUGCUUCAGCUUGUCUUAAUUAUAGUGUGCCUCUUUGCAACUGCAAGUUACUCAGAUGCUUGCAGUCUUUGACUUCUAUUUUUAGGUAAUUUUAAUCUCUCUGAUGAGUCUAAUGACAGUUGAUCACACACUAUUUGUAUUGAUUUAUAUAUUUUCAUAGCACACUCUUUGCUUCUUAAAGUAACAUAACCACAGACUUGAAAAUAGCUGAAAAUUUGAAUUAGAGAAAAGAAAAAAGCUAUCACUGUCCAUCACUAACACUUUGACUCAUCCAUUCCCCAUGGGUUUUUUUUAGUAUAAUAAAGUCAUUAAAAAAAUCAUUCUAUCUCUUUCAGUAGUUUAUCAAAGCUAAUAAAAGUGUUUUUAAGUUGUAAAGAGCUUCAGCUUGUAGUGACCAACACAGUGGGAAGUAGAGAAAGAGGCUGACUUCCUUUAAGAAAUAUGAUACCUGGGGGGUGCCUGGGUGGCUCAGUCAGUUGAGCAUCAGACUUUGGCUCAGGUCAUGAUCUCACGGUUCAUUGGUUCAAGCCCUGCAUCGGGCUCUGUGCUGAUAGCUCAGAGCCUGGAGCCUGCUUCAAAUUCUGUGUCUCCCUCUCUCUGUCCCUCUCUCGCUUGCACUCUGUGUCUGUCCGUCUCUCCCUCUCAAAAAUAAACAAACAUUAAAAAAAAAUAAAAUAGAGAAAUAUGAUACUUGGGAAAUAUGAUAAAUACAGAUUCAGUAAUAGCAGCCAUAGACACUGCUUUAUAGAAGUGGUAGGACUUGAUCCCCUGCCUUGUGGGAUGGACAGAGUUUAGAUUGGGGCAGAGAGAAAGCGCUCCUAGGUAGGGGAGGAUGAUGCAUAUGAAGAAGGAGCAUGUUAAGUUCCAAGAAUUUUAAAGGGAGGAGUGGAGGUUCAUGAUUUAGAGGAUGGGUUCAAGGAAUUAUGGGCCUUAAAAAUCAGGUGAGUGGUUUUAAUCUGACAUGUUUUUAUGACAUUUCAAAGAAAUCGGAGGAGCUGGUAGUAGGGCCUUUGCAGGGCUGUCCCUUUGCCUCUGCUCUUCCCCACAUAUCCACACAGCCUCCUCCCUUACUUCUUCCACAUCUUUGCUCAAAUGUCACCUUUUUCUCAAUGAGACUUACCCUGACCACCCUUUUUUUAAAUUGCCGUUAUCUUACUCUGCUUUUUCUUUUUUUGUAACAUUUACUACCUUCUGAGAUCCUGUACUUACUUAACCGUAUUUACUUAUUUACUCUGUCUGUUGUUUCCCUCUUCCUACUAGAAUAUAAGUUUAUGAAAAUGGAUAUUUCUGUUUUGUUCCCACUGUAUCACAAGGGCAUAGAAAGUGUCUGGUGCAUCAUAGGUACGCAGUAAAUAUUUGUUGAACGGCAGUAGAUCUUAGUUGUAGGAAGUUGGAGUACAAAAAUUAAGGAUUCCAUGAAAUAAAAAAAAGAAUGACUCCAGGACUUUUACAUCUGGAUAAUGCUUUUAACUAGUAAGGAAUUAGGUGAGAGAAAGAUUGACGGGGAAAUGAAACCUGAUUUGAACAUGUUGAGUUUGAGGUGAGGGUCGCAUAACCAAGUGGAGUUUUUCAGUAGGCAGCAAAGAUGUAAGAUUGGAAUGUGGUUGGAAAUGGGAGAGAAUCUUAGGCAAAGAAACAAUUAUCAGCAUUUGCCUUCUACCUCAUUCUCUCUCUCUCUCUCUCUCUCUCCUUUUUUUUUUUUUUUUUUUUUUCUGGUGCCCUAAAAAGCCACCUUAAGCGAAGUACUUAUUUUGACUCUGAACUCCUAACUUAGAUGUGGAGCCUUGCUCAGUUCACUGAGAUAUUCUUCCCUCCUGGAUUGCAGGUCCAUGCUUUGUUCUCUCCACCCCCUCCAACACUAAAGAAAUAUGUAUUCAGAAUUAUUUGUGAUCUUCUGAUUGUACUGACAUUAGUGUUCAAGCUCUCUUUCACCUCUUGAGAAUCUGCUCUGGUUCUUGGAUGAGGUAGAAGAGAGGCCAACAUAUAGCAUUCAUAUACUCUUUAGCAUUCAUACCUUUGAGAGGAGCACUAUUUUGUAACUUUCUUAUUGUAUGGGAAAAAUUAUUCAGUGAUUGGCUUGUGUCCUCUGACUGUUUUCCAGGAAAGGAUUUAGGAAACUUGAAAUAAAAACAUAUGCAGUAAGAUCAGAACUAAUGACCAGAAAGAUAAGAACCAAUAAAUAAAAGGGGAAAAGAAAGAACAAUUCUCCAUAACUUUUAGCUGGGGAAAGCUUUUGUAGUUGAACACAAUACGUAGCUCUGAGUUUUCUAGCAGUGAGAGCAAUCAGGGAACCUGAUAGUUUGCAUCUCAUUGCCUGUUAUUGAGCAUUUAUGGGAGGCUGCCUCCUUCCUUAAUAAUAAGGAGCCCCAGACACAAAGAUGCAAUGCACGGAGAAUCUCUAAGUAGUAAAGGCUUCCUGGACCUCAGCCCUGAUUCUCGUUCGCAGGCUUCUUCUUCAACAUGUAUUGAGGGUUGUGCUACCAUUUUUCUUCUCCAUGCAAAGGCUGUGAUCCAAGUAUGGACGCACUAGUCUUACGCUAAUGCCAGUGGAACAGCUGAUGUAAGGCUGCAGCAUUUAAAUCAAGCUUAGCUAAAAGCUAGAGGAUAAUGAAUAGAGAAAGCAACAUGAAACUGUUCAAGCUGGCUUACAAAGACAUUUUCCUCAUGUCCUUAUCUUUUGGCCUGUCUCCAUUUGGCAGACAUCAUCUGAGUACUGUCACCAGAAGUGAAUAGAGCCAGGCAUUUAUCUUUCUUCAAACAGGGCCAAAACAGCAGGGUCCAGAGAGUGUCUUUGCUUAGGUUUCCCAUCUGAAGAGCUGCCUCCUUUCUGGGUGAUGGAUGUUGGGAUCGAUGACUUCCUUUAGGAGAGACCACACAUACUCAGAGAGUGUGUCCUUACACAGGUAGGAUGCAUAGUAACCCCAAUAUUCAUAUAAAAGAUACUCACAUAUGUUACCAUGAAGGAUAUUCUUUGUUAGAAACAUGCCAAUUUCAUUGGGAAAAACAAGUUUCUCCCUGCUCUCGAGCAGAAUCUACUAUAGAAGUCUUUGUAUAAGGGGCAUGAGAGAGAAAUCAAGUGAAGAGUUUGGGUUUAUCAUUGUCCAUGACUUGAGUAGAUUCACUUUCCUUUCUUACUUCUCAGUCCUAGUGUUUCCUUGUUCUAAUCAACAGGGCUGAACCUCCUUAUUUUUGUUCAUUUGCUUCAGGAUAACCAUUCCAUCUAGAUUUCCUAGGUGUGAACCUCACGUAUUACAUAAUAGUGUGUAUUUAUAGUUCUAGGACACCUUGUGCGGGCAUCCUGUUACAUUUCUACAAUAUAAGAUCUUUAAAUAUGCAUUGAAAUACAAAUAGCUCCCAUGGAAAAAAGCAAAAACAAACAGCUUUUUUUAACUAGAAGUGAGGGCUAAUAUUUGGGAGCAAUGAACAUGGAGGAGAUAGGUAAGCCUGAAGAGGAAUGUAGAGGUAGAAAAUUAGUAACUGACUUUUAAUUUAUAUGAACACGCACAAUAUAUGUAUGGUCUUUGUUGGUUUUUUUCUGGAUGUAUUUAUUCCCAAAUGGAACCAUAAUGUGCUCUAAUUGAGUCUCUUUGUUUAGCACAUGGCUGUUGAUUUGAGUACUUUCUCCAAUUGAAAAACUGACAUUUUAAUUUUGUUAUUCAAUGUGCAACAGAUUUAAAUAAAAACACCAAGAUUGUGUAUUGUAGAUUUCCUUCAACAAUAAUUAUAUGUAAUUAUUUUACCAAAAUAAACAAGUUAAAGUAGUUUUGGCUGUUUUAUCGCAUUUUACAUUUGGAAAAAAAUUACACACCAUGGACCAGAGUUUGCUCAUGUUUCUCAGUGAGGAAUGAAAAUUUCUGUUU